UGGGGAAUUUUGGACAAUGGGCGAAAGCCUGAUCCAGCAAUGCCGCGUGUGUGAAGAAGGCCUUCGGGUUGUAAAGCACUUUUGUCCGGAAAGAAAUCCUUGGCUCUAAUACAGUCGGGGGAUGACGGUACCGGAAGAAUAAGCACCGGCUAACUACGUGCCAGCAGCCGCGGUAAUACGUAGGGUGCAAGCGUUAAUCGGAAUUACUGGGCGUAAAGCGUGCGCAGGCGGUUUGCUAAGACCGAUGUGAAAUCCCCGGGCUCAACCUGGGAACUGCAUUGGUGACUGGCAGGCUAGAGUAUGGCAGAGGGGGGUAGAAUUCCACGUGUAGCAGUGAAAUGCGUAGAGAUGUGGAGGAAUACCGCUGGCGAAGGCAGCCCCCUGGGCCAAUACUGACGCUCAUGCACGAAAGCGUGGGGAGCAAACAGGAUUAGAUACCCUGGUAGUCCACGCCCUAAACGAUGUCAACUAGUUGUUGGGGAUUCAUUUCCUUAGUAACGUAGCUAACGCGUGAAGUUGACCGCCUGGGGAGUACGGUCGCAAGAUUAAAACUCAAAUGAAUUGACGGGGUCAUAGCUGUUUCCU
rnacentral:rRNA from 1 species